GGCAAAUACUCCCGGAGGAAGGAGCGAAUUUUUGGGGGCACAUCGAGACUCCACAGUUGUGUCCAUAAGGAUACUUUGCCAUCCCCAUGAUGGGCGACUACCCUUGGAGGCAUGCCAGAUAUCUCCGUCGGGAAAAUAAAGCCCUUUCAACACUCUGCUCCAUAGGGCUUGAGGGGAGGUAGCUAAACGCCAGGCCUGUUUGCCUAGCAUGGCUCGAUUAAAGCCUCUUUUAGCUUCACCAUUCUGCCACCAGAAAGACGCAAUACGUUGUUCUAUGGCUCGACAGAUCGAUAGUGGCAGCUUGAAGGUGGAC